UCAGGGCUGAUAAAGUGAUCUCCGGCGUGCGGCCGUGAGGAAAAAAAUUGUGAACUUGAAUGCGAUCUAAUAUUUUCGAGUCAAUGGAUUUUCACCUAACUUUACCGAUCAUACAGUGUGAGAUGAAUGCAGCUCUCGUUGCAAGACUACCGUUAUCAGAAGUAGAGCAGGGCGGGUCCUGUCACAGUGUGAUUGAGAUCCAACGCGUUGCGUCGUCUGUGAUAGCGUGGAGCGCAAAUUCAAGAAACCCGAGGAUGAUUAUCCCACGGGCAUAAUUUCCUAUACGGACAGGGUGCGUUAACUGCUGCUAGAGGAGUAUCGGAAGAGCAUGCUUUUAGAGGUCCAAAAGUGAUCCAGACCUGCAGCUUCUUGAUGAACUGAUGACUGCAACAUUCUCUCAGCGAAGAAAAGAAAAUCAUUGCUGACAAGCCACUCAUCUCUGUAGUCAGGGACAGAUGGCCUGCACUCUUCAAUGAGAGACAGAUAAGUGAUAAAUGGACUAGAUGCCUUGGUGCCAAUUUUUUUAGAGCUGUACAACAUCUCGUCAAGCAGGAGGUUGAGCAUUAGCAGAGUUAUGCAGUGCCUUGAUAAGGAGGACACAAAUCAGAACAGAAGAACAGCUGCCUUACUUGGUCUUCCACACUUCUUUUCAGAGGAUACUUCGGAUAUAACCAAGAUGUGUGAUGUUCAUGGUGAAACCCUGGAUGUCAUUAUGAAGGGAAUGCGUGUUGGUCUACUGAUUGGACACGAAGGUGUCCUGAAUGAUGCAUUUCCUCUUGAUGUCUCCAACGUGGCUGUGGUGGUAGAAGAGACAAUUGUUCUCCAUAAUCUCAGAGACAUACCCACUGGCUUUGCUCUGUUAAUGGGCACAAUCUACUGCCUUAACCUACUCCUUCGAAUUCCUGCAGAAAGUGAUCAUGAAGAUUAAAACUGACCACUGUUCUGCCAAUAUACAUGGACUUCGAAACAAACUGCUGAGAUAUAAUUUAUAGACUGGUCUCAAACCAUAUAUCGGAGGUAACAUGUUAUGUUUGCAGUCUUUGGAGGACACUUGACACUUGAGUUAUUUGACACUGUUCAAAAUUGAUAUUACCGACUAUUUCAAGUAAAACCCAAGUACUGCUGAAAAUUAACAGAAGCAUAAAUGUUUAGAUGUGUUUUUAAAGGAGAACUCUGGUCAAUUUAAACAUUGAGCUAAUUUUUUUUGUACAUUUGGAGUGCUGUCAGU